rnacentral:rRNA from 1 species
CAAUAGCGUAUAUUAAAGUUGUUGCAGUUAAAAAGCUCGUAGUUGGAUUUCUGGUUGGAGCGACCGGUCGGGCAUUGAUUUGUCUGCACUGGAGUCGGUUCCGUCCAUCCUCCUGGAAAGUGCGUACGGCAUUAAGUUGUCGUGCGUAUGAUCCAGGUCUUUUACUGUGAAAAAAUUAGAGUGUUUAAAGCAGGCCUUCGCCUUGAAUACAUUAGCAUGGAAUAAUAAGAUAGGACUUGGGUCUAUUUUGUUGGUUUGCAGACCGAAGUAAUGAUUAAUAGGGAUAGUUGGGGGUAUUUAUAUUCCGAUGUCAGAGGUGAAAUUCUUAGAUUUUCGGAAGAUAAACUUAUGCGAAAGCAUUUACCAAGGAUGUUUUCAUUAA